GGGACACGUGGUAUCCUGUCUGAAUAUGGGGGGACCAUCCUCCAAGGCUAAAUACUCCUGACUGACCGAUAGUGAACCAGUACCGUGAGGGAAAGGCGAAAAGAACCCCGGCGAGGGGAGUGAAAAAGAACCUGAAACCGUGUACGUACAAGCAGUGGGAGCCUCUUAAUGGGGUGACUGCGUACCUUUUGUAUAAUGGGUCAGCGACUUAUAUUCUGUAGCAAGGUUAACCGAAUAGGGGAGCCGAAGGGAAACCGAGUCUUAACUGGGCGUUAAGUUGCAGGGUAUAGACCCGAAACCCGGUGAUCUAGCCAUGGGCAGGUUGAAGGUUGGGUAACACUAACUGGAGGACCGAACCGACUAAUGUUGAAAAAUUAGCGGAUGACUUGUGGCUGGGGGUGAAAGGCCAAUCAAACCGGGAGAUAGCUGGUUCUCCCCGAAAGCUAUUUAGGUAGCGCCUCGUGAAUUCAUCUCCGGGGGUAGAGCACUGUUUCGGCAAGGGGGUCAUCCCGACUUACCAACCCGAUGCAAACUGCGAAUACCGGAGAAUGUUAUCACGGGAGACACACGGCGGGUGCUAACGUCCGUCGUGAAGAGGGAAACAACCCAGACCGCCAGCUAAGGUCCCAAAGUCAUGGUUAAGUGGGAAACGAUGUGGGAAGGCCCAGACAGCCAGGAUGUUGGCUUAGAAGCAGCCAUCAUUUAAAGAAAGCGUAAUAGCUCACUGGUCGAGUCGGCCUGCGCGGAAGAUGUAACGGGGCUAAACCAUGCACCGAAGCUGCGGCAGCGACGCUUAUGCGUUGUUGGGUAGGGGAGCGUUCUGUAAGCCUGUGAAGGUGGCCUGUGAGGGUUGCUGGAGGUAUCAGAAGUGCGAAUGCUGACAUAAGUAACGAUAAAGCGGGUGAAAAGCCCGCUCGCCGGAAGACCAAGGGUUCCUGUCCAACGUUAAUCGGGGCAGGGUGAGUCGACCCCUAAGGCGAGGCCGAAAGGCGUAGUCGAUGGGAAACAGGUUAAUAUUCCUGUACUUGGUGUUACUGCGAAGGGGGGACGGAGAAGGCUAUGUUGGCCGGGCGACGGUUGUCCCGGUUUAAGCGUGUAGGCUGGUUUUCCAGGCAAAUCCGGAAAACCAAGGCUGAGGCGUGAUGACGAGGCACUACGGUGCUGAAGUGACAAAUGCCCUGCUUCCAGGAAAAGCCUCUAAGCAUCAGGUAACAUCAAAUCGUACCCCAAACCGACACAGGUGGUCAGGUAGAGAAUACCAAGGCGCUUGAGAGAACUCGGGUGAAGGAACUAGGCAAAAUGGUGCCGUAACUUCGGGAGAAGGCACGCUGAUAUGUAGGUGAAGCGACUUGCUCGUGGAGCUGAAAUCAGUCGAAGAUACCAGCUGGCUGCAACUGUUUAUUAAAAACACAGCACUGUGCAAACACGAAAGUGGACGUAUACGGUGUGACGCCUGCCCGGUGCCGGAAGGUUAAUUGAUGGGGUUAGCGGUAACGCGAAGCUCUUGAUCGAAGCCCCGGUAAACGGCGGCCGUAACUAUAACGGUCCUAAGGUAGCGAAAUUCCUUGUCGGGUAAGUUCCGACCUGCACGAAUGGCGUAAUGAUGGCCAGGCUGUCUCCACCCGAGACUCAGUGAAAUUGAACUCGCUGUGAAGAUGCAGUGUACCCGCGGCAAGACGGAAAGACCCCGUGAACCUUUACUAUAGCUUGACACUGAACAUUGAGCCUUGAUGUGUAGGAUAGGUGGGAGGCUUUGAAGUGUGGACGCCAGUCUGCAUGGAGCCGACCUUGAAAUACCACCCUUUAAUGUUUGAUGUUCUAACGUUGGCCCGUAAUCCGGGUUGCGGACAGUGUCUGGUGGGUAGUUUGACUGGGGCGGUCUCCUCCUAAAGAGUAACGGAGGAGCACGAAGGUUGGCUAAUCCUGGUCGGACAUCAGGAGGUUAGUGCAAUGGCAUAAGCCAGCUUGACUGCGAGCGUGACGGCGCGAGCAGGUGCGAAAGCAGGUCAUAGUGAUCCGGUGGUUCUGAAUGGAAGGGCCAUCGCUCAACGGAUAAAAGGUACUCCGGGGAUAACAGGCUGAUACCGCCCAAGAGUUCAUAUCGACGGCGGUGUUUGGCACCUCGAUGUCGGCUCAUCACAUCCUGGGGCUGAAGUAGGUCCCAAGGGUAUGGCUGUUCGCCAUUUAAAGUGGUACGCGAGCUGGGUUUAGAACGUCGUGAGACAGUUCGGUCCCUAUCUGCCGUGGGCGCUGGAGAACUGAGGGGGGCUGCUCCUAGUACGAGAGGACCGGAGUGGACGCAUCACUGGUGUUCGGGUUGUCAUGCCAAUGGCACUGCCCGGUAGCUAAAUGCGGAAGAGAUAAGUGCUGAAAGCAUCUAAGCACGAAACUUGCCCCGAGAUGAGUUCUCCCUGAGACUUAGAGUCUCCUGAAGGAACGUUGAAGACGACGACGUUGAUAGGCCGGGUGUGUAAGCGCAGCGAUGCGUUGAGCUAACCGGUACUAAUGAACCGUGAGGCUUAACCUUACAACGCCGAAG
rnacentral:rRNA from 1 species